GAUCCUGGCUCAGGAUGAACGCUAGCGGCAGGCUUAACACAUGCAAGUCGAGGGGCAGCGCGGGAUAGCAAUAUCCUGGCGGCGACCGGCGGAAGGGUGCGUAACGCGUGAGCGACAUGCCCGUUGCCCGGGGACAACCGGUGGAAACGCCGACUAAUCCCCGAUGGGAUACGAUGCUUCAUGGCAUUGUAUUGAAAGUUACGGCGGCGACGGAUUGGCUCGCGUCCGAUUAGCUUGUUGG
rnacentral:rRNA from 1 species